rnacentral:rRNA from 1 species
GGAAGGUGGCAAGCGUUAAUCGGAAUCACUGGGCGUAAAGCGCGCGUAGGCGGUUAGAUAAGGUCGGGUGUGAAAGCCCCGGGCUCAACCUGGGAACUGCAUUCGAUACUGUCUGACUAGAGUGUGAUAGAGGGAGGCGGAAUUCCGCAUGUAGCGGUGAAAUGCGUAGAGAUGCGGAGGAACACCAAUGGCGAAGGCAGCCUCCUGGAUCAACACUGACGCUGAGGCGCGAAAGCGUGGGGAGCAAACCAGGAUUAGAUACCCUGGUAGUCCCACGCCCGUAAACGAUGUCAACUAGCCGUUGGGAGCAAUUUUGGCUCUUGGUGGCGCAGCUAACCGCGAUAAGUUGACCGCCUGGGGAGUACGGUCGCAAGAUUA